rnacentral:rRNA from 1 species
CCUACGGGACGCACCAGUGGGAAAUAUUGCACAAUGGGCGCAAGCCUGAUGCAGCCAUGCCGCGUGUAUGAAGAAGGCCUUCGGGUUGUAAAGUACUUUCAGCGGGGAGGAAGGCGAUAAGGUUAAUAACCUUGUCGAUUGACGUUACCCGCAGAAGAAGCACCGGCUAACUCCGUGCCAGCAGCCGCGGUAAUACGGAGGGUGCAAGCGUUAAUCGGAUUUACUGGGCGUAAAGCGCACGCAGGCGGUCCGUCAAGUCGGAUGUGAAAUCCCCGGACUCAACCUAGGAACUGCAUUCGAAACUGGCAGGCUAGAGUCUUGUAGAGGGGGGUAGAAUUCCAGGUGUAGCGGUGAAAUGCGUAGAGAUCUGGAGGAAUACCGGUGGCGAAGGCGGCCCCCUGGACAAAGACUGACGCUCAGGUGCGAAAGCGUGGGGAGCAAACAGGAUUAGAUACCCCAGUAGUC